ACAAGUAGGGACUCUGUGCCAGACCCAGCCCUGUGUGAGUGUGUUUUCAGAACAAAGUUUAGGAGGUGGCUACAGCUUACAAUAACUGUUCAAGAUCAGAAUUUAGAAAAUGAACCAAGAAGUUUUUCUUUAACUACAACCUCACUUUAUUGAGUUUUAUAUUGAUUUUAUAGCUUUGAGUAUUUCUCAGAAACUCGACCAGUGAAUACUGAUGUCUUGGGCACUGACUAAAACAGCUUUCAUCCCAUCACCUGGCCUGACCAUGACAAUGCCAGGCAUUUAGCUGCUGCUCUCCCCUGAGCCAGUGCACGUGCCACAACCGCCAUGCUGAUUAAAAGGCACCGCUUAUCUGAAGUAGCAGCAACUCCCUGGGGAUCGUGCAUCUGCUGCUGCCACCAACAUGGUCCAACAUAAACAGAUAAGUAACCCAGGCUUUCUGACCAGAGGUGGGAAAGAGUAUCAAAGGCAACCAAAUUCAAGCUGUUCUCAAUGACAUCAGAGGACAAGGAGGGAUUUCUGGGUCACACAGGCUGCUCUCAUAACUGGAAGCAGCAUAAAUGUGCCAGGCUGUUGCUCCUGGCAACCUGUACAUUUGGAGGGUGGGAGGUGGUUUAAGUCAUAGAAACUCUUCUUUUAACAUGUUUUAAUGCAAGACCAGUGUUAGCUGAAAAGGAUGAAGACCAUAUAUAAAUGUUGCGGGCAGCUUGAUCUAUCAGUAAUUUGGCUUGUUGAGACCCAAGUUAAUUUCAACACUAAUAUGGGUAUAAAAAGCCUACUGACUAGAGGAACGAUGUUUCACUGUGUCUUCGGGAGUAACAUAUCUGGCUCUGAUGGCUACAUGUUGCAGCAAAUUUAACUAAAACAAGUUAAAACCUUCUGCUGACAUGAUAGUGGUGUCUGGGUAGAGCACAGAGAGAGCACUUGAUUUGAACAGUGUGCUGUGACUUACAUUUUUUUACAUUUUAUUUAUUUUAAGUAUUUUGAAGUUGGUGAAUAAAGACUUUUCCUUGACAACUGUUUUUUUUUAUAUCAGUGAAACAUGGCUGCAACAACAAAUCAACAACAGAGUAAAAAACUGCACUGACCCCAAGUUACCUCACAAAUGUACUUAAGCAUAUUCAACCUUAUGCAACAUGAAACAAAGACUGCUGCACUUUUUGGGAUUGAACUUUGUGGAUAGUCCCUAAAGACACAUAAGAGUUAUUUGUUGUGUUGUGUUUGAAAGAACAGUAAUAAAUUUCCAUACCAACAA